rnacentral:rRNA from 1 species
GCUAGUAAUCGCGGAUCAGCAUGCCGCGGUGAAUACGUUCUCGGGCCUUGUACACACCGCCCGUCACACCAUGGGAGUCGGUAACACCCGAAGUCUGUAGCCUGACGCAAGAGGGCGCAGCCGAAGGUGGGAUUGAUGACUGGGGUGAAGUCGUAACAAGGUAAC